CCUAAGCCGUACUUUACAUGCAAGUCGAGCGGAUGGAUUGAGAGCUUUGCUCUUAUGUAAGUUAGCGCGCGGCACGGUGUGAGUCACACUGUGGUGUCACGUGCCCUAUAAACACGUGGGUAUCUCUCCGGGAGAAAACCGGGGCGUCUUAUACCGAUAUUACAUUUUAACACCGCUGUGUUCUCUUAUUUGAAGGGGGGCUUCGGCUGUCCCUUAUGGUUGGCCCCGCGUCGCAUUAGCUAGUUGGUGAGGUAACGGCUCCCCAAGGCAACAAUGCGUACCCAACCUGAGAGGGUGAUCGGCCACACUGGGACUGAACACGGCCCAAACUCCUACGGGAGGCAGCAGUAGGGAAUCUUCCGCAAUGGACAAAAGUCUGACGGACCACCCCCGCGUGAGUGAUGAAGGUUUUCGGGUCGU
rnacentral:rRNA from 1 species